rnacentral:rRNA from 1 species
AUGAACGCUGGCGGCGUGCCUAACCCAUGCAAGUCGAACGAAGCACCUUACCUGAUUCUUCGGAUGAACGUUUGGUGACUGAGUGGCGGACGGGUGAGUAACGCGUGGGUAACCUGCCCUGUACAGGGGGAUAACAGCUGGAAACGGCUGCUAAUAACGCAUAAGCGCACGAGGAGACAUCUCCUUGUGUGAAAAACUCCGGUGGUACAGGAUGGGCCCGCGUCUGAUUAGCUGGUUGGCAGGGUAACGGCCUACCAAGGCAACGAUCAGUAGCCGGUCUGAGAGGAUGAACGGCCACAUUGGAACUGAGACACGGUCCAAACUCCUACGGGAGGCAGCAGUGGGGAAUAUUGCACAAUGGGGGAAACCCUGAUGCAGCAACGCCGCGUGAGUGAAGAAGUAUUUCGGUAUGUAAAGCUCUAUCAGCAGGGAAGAUAAUGACGGUACCUGACGAAGAAGCGCCGGCUAAAUACGUG